UUGUUGUCGGGCCAAUUAGUGGCCCAACAACGUUAUUAAGACAUAACAAUUUUAUUAAAAAACUCAAUUGGCAUUAAUUUUGUUCUUUACGCAUUUUACUGAAAUUAUUGACAGACGUAUUUUUUUCUUCUGUUUAUUUUUAGAUCAACCCGGUGGAAUACAAACUUAUUGGCAUUGUCAAUGAGCAUAAGCAUUGGAAGCUGGCGGCAAUCAUGCCAGGAGAAAAAAGGUCCUUACUAGUUGAUCCUCUUGGUGAGUCUCAAAUGGACAUUAAAAAAUGCCUGGAAUCAACCCGGGCGUUCAUGCGCAAGAAAGGGUGCAAUGUUUCCAGGUGGACUUGUGGCACUGUCCCCCAUCCCAGGCAACAAGAUUCAACCUCUUGUGUUGUAUUUGCUUUGAAAUUUGCAGAACAUCUUCUUUCAAAUGAAGAAAUAGAUUUCUCAGCAAAGGCACAUGAUGUAAAUAGGUACAGGCUGCAAAUUGCCACCACACUUCUAUUAGAGACUGAUGAUUUAUCUAACUUGUGCUUUGUUUGUGGGGAAGCUACACAUGACACAGACAACAGAUGAGUAAUUAUUUCAGGUCUUGUUAACUAAUGCAUGUGAUGAUUAAGAAAUAUAUUGAAUUACACAUUCGUUGUAAAUUAUUGUAAAUGUGCUGCAUUGUAUGAUCUUGCUUUUUUCUUUGUUUACCAGAUUCAGUGUGACGAGUGUUGCAGGUGGUUCCAUCUUGUAUGUGUCGGGGAGCCUCCAACCGAAGGCUCUUUUUUGUGUACAUGUACAGAAAUUAAAUGCUAAAUAUUUGAAGCUUG